rnacentral:lncRNA from 1 species
CCGGACUUAUGUUUAGAUUGUGCUCCACAAGAUCCUUGUCAAUUCCGGGCAUCUCGUCGUAAUUCCAAGCAAAGACAUCCCUAUAUUCUCGCAAUAAUUGUACAAGCUCCUCCUUCUGUUUAGCAUCCAACUCCUUGUUGACAUAAGUCGGUCUUGGCGUUCCUUCCUCUGUUGCCAAAUUAACUUCCUCUAAUUCAUUUUGUUGAGGUUUUGGCCUAUCCUCGAAGCAUUCUGGAGCUGGUUCUACCUUCUGUUGUACAGCUUCUUCUUCUUCAUUAUUGCUGGAGUGGGGGACACCUCCUGAGCCGUUGGGUUCACACGCUUCCAAGGGCUCUUCCCCCUUGCAUCGUCACAAUCGAAACACCACCUUUCCGUCGGGUUUAACAACCCUCUCCCAUUUUGUCUUCUGGCC